AAUAUUGGACAAUGGGCGCAAGCCUGAUCCAGCCAUGCCGCGUGAGUGAUGAAGGNCUNNGGGUUNUNAAGCUCUUUCAGUGGNNNNNAUAAUGACGGUCCCCACAGAAGAAGCCCCGGCUAACUCCGUGCCAGUAGCCGCGGCCAUACGAACGGGGCUAGCGUUGUUCGGAUUUACUGGGCGUAAAGCGCACGUAGGCGGUUUGUUAAGUCAGAGGUGAAAUCCCGGAGCUCAACUCCGGAACUGCCUUUGAUACUGGCAAGCUAGAGUCCGGAAGAGGUGAGUGGAACUCCUAGUGUAGAGGUGGAAUUCGUAGAUAUUAGGAAGAACACCAGUGGCGAAGGCGGCUCACUGGUCCGGUACUGACGCUGAGGUGCGAAAGCGUGGGGAGCAAACAG
rnacentral:rRNA from 1 species